UUAGGUAAAAUAUUGCUUUGCAAGUGCAUAUAUGUAUAUACCCCAUAUAU
rnacentral:tRNA from 1 species